rnacentral:lncRNA from 1 species
CAAAUCCGUCACUUGACUUUUAAAAAAUGCAAAAUGAUCAGUCUUCCCUACCAACUCUCAAAGUCGCCGAUGACGAGUCCCGCCGCCGCAUUUUCCUCUUCCUCCUUCCCCAAACAAACCAGAGACUUCUCCUCCAUAUAUAUACCCCUCUCGAUUAAUUAAAACCCCAAACCAUCAUUACAAUAAUCUUCUGAUCAAAAUUACAAACAAUCCCUUUCAGUGGAUUUUGAAAUUCCAUUAUCGCUAAUCCUAAGCAAUUCCGGCGCAAAAGGAGGAGCAACGUCUUCGAUCAGUUCUCCCUCGACAUAUGGACCCCUUCGACGGCAUUCUCGCAACCGCUGCUACCUCGUGAUCGAAUAACUCGUUGAUCUUGCAUUUCAUGAGCAGGUCGGGGCGGCGCAAAAAAUUGCAAAAAGGAGAG